GACGAACGCUGGCGGCGUGCCUAAUACAUGCAAGUCGAGCGAACAGAGAAGGAGCUUGCUCCUUUGACGUUAGCGGCGGACGGGUGAGUAACACGUGGGUAACCUACCCUAUAGCUUGGGAUAACUCCGGGAAACCGGGGCUAAUACCGAAUAAGUGAUUUCUUCGCAUGAAGUGAAUCUGGAAAGACGGCUCACGCUGUCACUAUAGGAUGGACCCGCGGCGCAUUAGCUAGUUGGUGAGGUAACGGCUCACCAAGGCAACGAUGCGUAGCCGACCUGAGAGGGUGAUCGGCCACACUGGGACUGAGACACGGCCCAG
rnacentral:rRNA from 1 species